rnacentral:rRNA from 1 species
GAUGAACGCUGGCGGCGUGCCUAAUACAUGCAAGUCGAGCGAAAAGACGAGGCGCUUGUUCCUUUGACGUUAGCGGAGGACGGGAGUGUCACACGAGGAAAAUGUACCUAUAAGUCUGGGAACAUUUGGGGACAGCGGCGAAUAUACCGGAUAAUAUAUUGCACCGUGUGGUUGAUUAGUGAAAGACGGCUUUGGUGUAUCUUCUAGAUGGAUCUGCGCCGCAUUAGCUAGUAGGUAAGGUAAAGGCUUACCAAGGCAACGAUGCGUAGCCGACGUGAGAGAGUGAUCGGCCACCCGGGAACGGGGACACGGACCAUACGCCUGCGAGAGGCAGCAGUAUGGUAUCUUCCGCAAUAGUCGAAAGCCUGGCGGAGCGACGCCGCGUGAGUGAUGAAGGUGUUCGGUGCGUAAAACUCUGUUAUUAGUUAAAAACAAAUUUGUAAUUAGCUAUAGACGUCGUGACGGUACUGAAUCAGAAAGCCACGGCUAACUACGUG